AUGAGGCAGGUGACAAGAGUGACUGUGCUCUUGCUCUUGGGUACUUUGAGCCUCGCUAAGACCACCCAGCCCGUAUUCAUCGAGUCCUACGAAGGACAAGAAGUGAACAUACCCUGUAACCACACCAAGAUCGCUACAAAUGAGUAUAUCCACUGGUACCGACAGUUCCCCAACCAGGGACCACAAUUUGUUAUUCAAGGAUAUAAGACAAACGUGGAAAAUGAAGUGGCAUCCCUGUUCAUCUCUGCGGACAGGACGUCCAGCACCCUGAGCCUGCCCCGGGCUGCCCUGAGAGACACUGCUGUGUAUUACUGCACCAUGAGUGACUCACAGUGA